rnacentral:rRNA from 1 species
CCUACGGGUGGCUGCAGUGGGGAAUAUUGCACAAUGGGGGAAACCCUGAUGCAGCAACGCCGCGUGAGUGAUGAAGCAUUUGGGUAUUUAAAGCUCUAUCAUCAGGGAACAAUAUGACGGUACCUGAUUAAGAAGCACCGGCUAACUACGUGCCAGCAGCCGCGGUAAUACGUAGGGAGCAAGCGUUGUCCGGAUUUACUGGGUGUAAAGGGAGCGUAGACGGCAGUGCAAGUCUGGAGUGAAAGCCCGGGGCGCAACCCCGGUACUGCUCUGGAAACUGUCCGGCUAGAGUACUGGAGGGGCAGGCGGAAUGCCUAGUGUAGCGGUGAAAUGCGUAGAUAUUAGGAGGAACACCAGUGGCGAAGGCGGCUUGCUGGACAGUAACUGACGUUGAGGAUCGAAAGCGUGGGGAGCAAACAGGAUUAGAUACCCCAGUAGUC